GACCUCGUAGCUCCGUUGGCUAGAGCGUUGGCUGUACCAAGGCUGUACCUUGCUGGCGUGGGUUCGAAUCCCACCGAGUUUU
rnacentral:tRNA from 1 species